rnacentral:rRNA from 1 species
GCAUAUCAAUAAGCGGAGGAAAAGAAACCAACCGGGAUUGCCUUAGUAACGGCGAGUGAAGCGGCAAAAGCUCAAAUUUGAAAUCUGGUACCUUCGGUGCCCGAGUUGUAAUUUGGAGAGGGCAACUUUGGGGCCGUUCCUUGUCUAUGUUCCUUGGAACAGGACGUCAUAGAGGGUGAGAAUCCCGUGUGGCGAGGAGUGCGGUUCUUUGUAAAGUGCCUUCGAAGAGUCGAGUUGUUUGGGAAUGCAGCUCUAAGUGGGUGGUAAAUUCCAUCUAAAGCUAAAUAUUGGCGAGAGACCGAUAGCGAACAAGUACAGUGAUGGAAAGAUGAAAAGAACUUUGAAAAGAGAGUGAAAAAGUACGUGAAAUUGUUGAAAGGGAAGGGCAUUUGAUCAGACAUGGUGUUUUGUGCCCUCUGCUCCUUGUGGGUAGGGGAAUCUCGCAUUUCACUGGGCCAGCAUCAGUUUUGGUGGCAGGAUAAAUCCAUAGGAAUGUAGCUUGCCUCGGUAAGUAUUAUAGCCUGUGGGAAUACUGCCAGCUGGGACUGAGGACUGCGACGUAAGUCAAGGAUGCGGCA